AAAUUGCCCUGAUGUGGGGGAUAACCAUUGGAAACGAUGGCUAAUACCGCAUGAUGCCUACGGGCCAAAGAGGGGGACCUUCGGGCCUCUCGCGUCAGGAUAUGCCUAGGUGGGAUUAGCUAGUUGGUGAGGUAAGGGCUCACCAAGGCGACGAUCCCUAGCUGGUCUGAGAGGAUGAUCAGCCACACUGGAACUGAGACACGGUCCAGACUCCUACGGGAGGCAGCAGUGGGGAAUAUUGCACAAUGGGCGCAAGCCUGAUGCAGCCAUGCCGCGUGUAUGAAGAAGGCCUUCGGGUUGUAAAGUACUUUCAGUCGUGAGGAAGGCGGUGUCGUUAAUAGCGGCAUCGUUUGACGUUAGCGACAGAAGAAGCACCGGCUAACUCCGUGCCAGCAGCCGCGGUAAUACGGAGGGUGCGAGCGUUAAUCGGAAUUACUGGGCGUAAAGCGCAUGCAGGUGGUUUGUUAAGUCAGAUGUGAAAGCCCGGGGCUCAACCUCGGA
rnacentral:rRNA from 1 species